CCUGAUGGUCAUAUGACCCGCGUUUACUUUUAUCACUAUGUUAAUGAAGAUUAUGUUGGGUCGUUGACAUAAGACCAAUCACAAAACAAAAUAAAAAAUAAUAACACAACAAAAAAAAAAAAAAAA
rnacentral:ribozyme from 1 species